ensembl:lncRNA
ACCGCCGAUAUCAACGAGCGGUUCGCUCCACUGGAGCGUUCGGGACUCUGCGGGUUUCUGUCCAUGGAGGAGAGGAACCGACUCAAAGAAGAGGAGACGGGCGCACAAUCCCACGAUAGCGGUAAGAAUACGUUCAAUGACUGCAGGUUAAGCUAAAAGUAGCAUAGCCUCAAGCUAAGCUAAGAGUAGCCUAGUAGCCUUACAAGUGAGCAGAAACAGCUUUAUUAAAGUGUGUUUUCUUUGCCGUGUCGUUUACAGGAAGCGGUGCGCCGUCUUCACAACUCUGAGACGAACUACAGGCGCUACGAACCGGAGCAAGGACUAACCUCGCCUCAUAAUGAGGCGGUGACCUCGUAUUUGCUCCGGGAAAAGUCCAGAUUUAGACGACGUCAUUGUGUCCGCCUGUGAGACGUAUUUUGAGACGUACGCAGGAGCUUCAGGUUCAGCCGGAACACUCAUUGCGGGCUGAAGCUGCGAAGGAUUCAGCGCGGAGUCGAGCGAGAAGAAAGAGGCUGCUGGAAUCGAGACAAAGUGUGCUGGCUGAUGACGAGGUGGAACGCUGGAAAUCCGCCACCGUAGAGCUCACGUCGGACGGAGAGGAUGGCGUUGUUGGCGGGGUCUCUGGGUGGAUUGUACGGUCGCCGCCACUUCUGAGUGCAGUCCCGGUUAGAGGCAAGUCAGAAAUACAGAGCCCCGCACACACGAGGCGCCUGCGCAACAGACCUGCCUCGCAAAACACGGCGCCAGUGACGGUCUACAACCCCGAGGAGGCAAACGGACAGUUUACUGAGCUGUAGUUUUUUAAACCGCCUUUACCCAAGUGUGGGCAGAUCCUCACUUUGUAUGUGGUGGUUGUUUGUGUGUUGUUAAUAAAGCUCUUUCUUUGCAUAAACAUGUGGCAAAGUUUCAUUUUCUCUAUAAAUUCAUUGAUGUCCUGGUUGGUAUCCUAAUAAUAGCGUAGUAGCCUACAUAGGAUAACCAUGAAAUGAAUAUACAGCAUAAUAUGAAUAUAUAAAUAUAUAUAAAUAAAAUGAGGCGGGUGACCAAUAGCGACAGAUCUGCCAACCAAUCACGAGUGAUUGAA